CAAGCGAACCAGAGUAAACAUGAGGAGAUCCAGAACCAGCAUAAACACGAGGAGAACCAGCGCCAGCAUGAACUGGAACUGGCCCGGCUGAGAAGCAGCGGGGCCCCAGCUGCGGUGAGUGAGGGGGGACCCAAGUCUACAAAGAGCUUUGAUAAAGGCUUGCUGGCCCGGCGUAAGAAGGGGAAGGACAU